UGGUUCUGGCAUCGAUGAAGAACGCAGCGAAAUGCGAUAAGUAAUGUGAAUUGCAGAAUUCAGUGAAUCAUCGAGUUUUUGAACGCACAUUGCGCCCUCUGGUAUUCCGGGGGGCAUGCCCGUUCGAGCGUCAUUGCACCCAUCGAGCCCGGCUCGGUAUUGGGUCACGGGGGUGACCCGGACCUUAACGUCUCCGGCUGGAGCGUCGCGAUCGCAGCGUUGUGGUACACCCCAAUCCGCUGGCGAGUCGGGCGCCCCCCCGCCGCGAAACUUUCUAUCUAGUUUGACCUCGGAUCGGGUAGGGAUACCCGCUGA
rnacentral:misc_RNA from 1 species